AAGUGAAUGGUGGCCAGAACUUUGAAGGAGAUUUUAUAGCAAAAAAGGACUUAAAUAUUUAUCUGUUUCUUACACACACCUAUCAUAUUGCUCGGGUCUUCGUUUGUGUUCAGCAGAAGAAAGAAGGUCAUACACCUCAUGGCAUGAGGGAGAUUAAAUGAUGAGAGAAUCUUCAUUUUUGUGUGAACUAUCCCUUUAAAUCACCUUCAAAUUCAAUAUUUUAAAAACUCAUAUUCUUUGUUGACUUCUCUACCUAUGCCAAUUUUCUUUUUUACUCUGGGAACAUUUAAGAAGUGAACAUGUUCAUGAAUAUCUGCACAAUUCAUUGUUGCAAAUUCACUGUUUUGCAAAACCAAGUUUGCUUAAUUCCUAUAGAAUCAAUCAAAUGUCUUAAACUAUUUUAAUGUCUGGGAGUAAAGCUCUAUUACUUUCACAUUUGCUUUAAAUUACCAGUUGCCUUUUUUUUUCUCGUUAUUGCUUACUGCUAUAGCAGUAUAUAGAUUCAUUUCUGCGUCAUUUUUGAUGAACUGGCUUCUCAGCACCAGUAGCCACAACUUAUGCUUUCCUUUUUGCUCUUUUCUGUUUUACUUUUUUUUUUUUACUUGAACAUGUUCCUUGUUAUUUUACAAAAAAUGGGGAAAAAAUUAAGGAGAUAAAAAUGUGCUAUUCGAAAUAUACUGAAAAGACCAGCAUAGCUGAUCACCAGCCAAUGUUGUGUUUUUGUUGCUGGUUACCAACAAGUCAUUUAGCUUCACCAGUGCUGGUCCUCAAGCUAUACCAAAACUAAAUCAACCCAAACAAGCAUAAAUCAGCCUGGACCCAUAAGGAAAUUAAUUCUGGUCUGUCUUUUUAGCAGGGAGAGACCAUAUAGAGUGUAGUAUAGUAAAUCAGUGAAUAUGAAUGUUACUGUAAUACUGUAAUAGAGUAUUAAUCUGUGUUUUACAUACAGUAGUAAAUAGAUGAACAAUAGUCUUCAUAAUGGGAGUAUCGUACUGGUAACACAGUUUUGAAAGGGACAAGCAGUGAACUGAGUUAUUAAAGAGGCCUGUCACCACUGUGCCUUUAAACAGUAUAGCUACAGAUUUUUUUGGCUCUCUACGAAAAAGCACACUGUUCCUUUUACUAAACCAAAAUCUUUGAGACAAUAAAAAACAAAUUGGUUAAUUAACAGUUAGUAUUAAUGAAGUGCUACAAAGACAAACGUCUUGACAUGUUUAUUAUGGAAAUGACUUGAAUAGGUGCUGUGUCUUUAAACACCAGCCUGUGACCAUAAAAGUGUUCAAACUUUACUAUCAGCAAGUUAAACCCUCCCUCAGAUAAGACUUGCUCACAAAUCAGAGCUGUUUACUAGAAUCUAUAUUUGAGUGCUGUGAUCACCUGCCUUUUGAAGAGAGGUGCCUCUGAAUUGGGGAUUUCUUCAUUGUCAUGGAAAUGAGUGACCCAUUUCAAGUUUUUCAGAUCUUCAUACCUAUUGUAAUGUGUGGUUUUGUGGCAAUAUGCUGUGCUAGUUUCUGUAAAAUCUUCCAGCGGGCCCGUAAGGAGCGCAUGGAGCGUCUUGCGGCUCAAGCCCUGGAACAAACGCCUGUCUAUGUAAUUCCAAUCUCUCUUUCUGAAGAUGAGCUGCACAGACCACCACUAUACAGCACAGUACACUUAUACGACCCACCUCCUGCUUAUAAUGAGCUCUGCCCUUUUAGGCGGGAAGCUGUCUGGUAUAAAAACAGGCUAGCAAACACCAUUCCUCAGAAUUUUCUUCCUUCAAGACUGCGAUUCAUCUCUCGUCACGAAACCUUCUACUAAUUCGCCAUCGACAUACACGAGUCAGCAGGCAUGAUUUUCACGGCAACGAGAAGAAUCUCCACUCACCUGCAGUGUUCAGGCAAACAUCCUGCAUCCUGAUUCCCUGCAGCACUUCGGCAGGAGUUUUUGGUGCCCUCCCCUCUGGGAAGGGAGUCGGGUGAUGGGGAGUGUGGCGAGGAAGAGGGCCGGGUCAUGAGGACACACGCCCGGCCCUGAAUCGGGCUAAUCAGCCAGGAGGGGGAUAAAGACUUGCCGGAGGCACCAGUUCGUGAGAGCCACAUGCAGUCACUGUGAGUGUGUCCAUAUGUUUGUUUUUAAGUUGAUUUAAGCUCAUGUAUGACAUUAAAACAUACUUUUACUGUUCAGCCGGUACCUCCUUGCCCACCUUAACCCAUUACAAACAUCUUACACAUAAAUAUCAAUAAUAAAAACCUAUAAAUAAUAGCUGCCAGUUAUAAUCAGUUACUAUCAAUUAGCACCUGAAGAAAAUAUUUAAUCAGAAAAUACAUAAUAAAAGUAGCGUGUGUUUGCCUUUAAGAAAAAUAUAUACUCAUCAUAAAAGCAUGUACAGCAUUAAGAAUAAAUACAGCAUAAUGUUUGCAGAGGAUCAGAGCAGAUAACGGCAUUACACGGACACAUGCAGUGACUACAUUUUACACCAACAGUAUCUUCAUAGAUCUCGAUAAACAGGUUUGAAAUGUCAUGCUUUAGCAUUGUACUUUCCUUCAUUUUCACGUUCUCUUCAAAUCAAGGUAUAAAAGCAAAGUUUGGUCUCUCAAACUUUUCUAAAGAAAUGAUUGCCACAUGUUUGAAUGAACAUAUGGGAAUAUACUGUUAAUUGACUUAACUUGCUAUAUAUGGUGUUCUACAAAAACAGCUGUCUGAGAAAAAAAUAAAUACAUGACAGUAUUGUAAGGUGAGCAUCUGUGUAUCAAACUAUUAUUUCUAUGCAUUAUCUGCCCACUGUUUCUAUUACUAUACCCCUAUCAGUGUGCUCUCAAAAUUAUCAUUCACAUUUCAGUAUAUUCUGUUACUAGAUGCAGAUAAAAUAGAGCUGUAUUGUGAAUGUUUAAGAAAACAAACUGUACAAAAUGUGACAUACCAAUAGUGGCUCAUGCAAAAUGGAGCCUUAUAAUAAAAAUAGAAUUCUGAAAUGAAACUGUCUAAUCUUCCAAACACCUACUAUGCAUAAUAUACAAAACAUUGUUUGUUUGCGCAACCCUACCAGCCCAACACAGCAACACUGGCUCAACCAAUGGCAUGAGCCUGGGAUGGGACUCUCUGUUCGACCAUUUAAUGGCAGACGGGGGGAAACCUGUUUGAAAACAAUCUGCCAUUGCUUUCAGAAUUUGACUGGGAAUCAGGCCAGCACUGCCUCCCUCUACCCGACGGGCCUGUGGGUAAAAACAUACUGUAACUUUAAUGCACAGCUCUUAAGGUAAUUCACACAAAAAACUGCUAUAAACUAUACAAACCAGUGAUUGAAAACAUUUUGUUAGUUUGAUUAUGUGCUACAAUUUUUCUAUUUGGAAUUAUCUAAUCGAAAAUCCCAAAAUGUAACUCCUUACACUUGAAGCUUGCAUGCACUGUACACAGACUCCACAUUUGUCAAGUGCAAGGAAGUGAAAUGGAGCUUAUCUCAUGAAGAUUUAUAGUGCUUAAAAAGUUACAUUUUGGACUGUUAUCUCCCAAAACCAAUCGUACACUUCAGAAGACAUGGAUUAAACCACUCAAGCGUAUGGAUUAUCUUUAUGCUGCCUUUAUGUAGUUUUUGGAGCUUUAAAGUUUUGGACCGCACUUACUUGCAUUGUAUGGAUAUAAACACAUACAUCCUUCAAAAUAUCUUUUUGAAGUAAAUAUUGUUGCCAACGCUUUACCAUAAAGUUCCAUUUGUUAACACAAGUUAACAUGAGCUAACAAUGAACAAUAUUUUACAUCAUUUAUUAAUCUUGGUUAAUUUUCUUUUCAACAUAUAGUAAAACAUUUUUUUAAAUCAAAAGUUGUAUACGUUAACAUUAAGUAAUUCACUAUGAACUAACAAUGAACAAUUUUUACUUAACUAACAUUAAGAAAGAUUAAUGAAUGCUAUUCAUGAUACCUAAUGCAUUAACUAAUGUUAUCAAAUGGAACCUUAUUGUAAAGUGUUACCAAAAUGUUUGUUUUCCGCAGAAGAAAGAAAGUCUUUUCUCACCCUUUCCUCACCAGUUUGAGAUGGCAUAAGGGUGAGGAAAUGAUGAGAGAAUGAUCAUUUUUUAGUGAACUAUCCUAAAUGUAUACAUAAAAAACGUCAUUAUAUUGCAAAGAUAUUUU